CCCUGCUUUUACCAUCUCUCUCACUCUCAUCCAUCUUCUUGUUCUGACUGUGAGCCAACCUGUUGUAGCUCUUCCACACCCCCUAAACUUUCCCCUUUAGAGGUAUUUGCUUCAUUCAUUCACUCUCUCUUUCCCUCACACACCCUCUUUAGUCUCUCUUGGAUUCUCACACUCCUAGUCCCAGGACAGUCCACAACAAAGGUGUGUAAAGCUAUAACUGGUUCUUGGAUUGGAUUAUUACCUGACGGAUCUCCAGUGGCUCAAACAGGAUUGCAUUUAGAGGAGGAUCAUGAUGCAGGAUACAGUGGGAGAGAUAAAAGGGAGAGAGCGAAGCAGCUAAAUAAAGCAGGGAACAAGCCCGUCUCAGGACAUCAGUCCAAAGAAGAGGAUCUGCUGGCAGAGAGAUAAGAGGAGGGAGGACAGGGAACCACAGAAAAGAGAGAGAGAAUGGGAUAUUGCGGCAUAUGGAUCUUCCUCUUGUUCCUGUCUCUCUGCUAUCAAAGCAGCACUGCAGAGGCUGAAGUAUGCCGUACAGCCAUGCCUGCUGAUAUAGUGUUUCUGGUGGAUGACUCCUGGUCAGUCGGACCGACCAGUUUCCAGCAAAUCAAAGAGUUCAUAGCGGACAUCAUCCGAGCCUUCCAGGGAAAUGUGUUCGGACAGGAAGGCAUUCGCUUUGGGGUGACCGUCUAUUCAGACUUGCCCAGGAUGCGUAUCGCUCUGACGGAUUAUUCCACUCUGGAUGAGGUGCUGCGGGCCGUGGAGGACGUGCCGUAUGAGGGGGGCAGCAGCCGCACUGGCCUGGCAUUGGAGUUCCUGGAGGAGUCUGUGUUCAGUCCUUCUAUCAUCAGAGAAAGCGCCCCAAAGAUUGCUGUCCUGAUCACUAAUGGCCAAUCUGAUGAUCAAGUGGACGAUCCAGCCAAAGCUGUAGCAGACAGUGGGAUUUCACUGUUUGCAGUUGGGGUGAGGAAUGCCGAUCAGUCUGAGCUGAAGAAGAUCGUCACAGAGCCUCAUGAGGAACAUCUGAUGCUCAGUCCAGACUUCUCCUUCCUGGAGCAUCUGCUGCCCAAACUCUCUCGCCGCAUCUGCUUCACUGCUUCGGAACCACCUCGACCUGUUAAACAAAAGCCGCCAGUGGUGGAAAGGAUAAUCGGGCCUAAAGAUCUGCAAGUGAGUGAGCUGAGCUACAGCUCUCUACAGCUGACCUGGAGUCAGGCCACAGGAGACGUUACCGGCUACAGGCUGCUCAUCACCCCUGUGUCUCCAAAGGGCCAUCUGCUUCCUGCACAGCAGACGCAGAUUGAUCUAAAGGGAGAUAUCAGUAGUACUCCAGUAACCGGGUUGAAUCCGAAGACUGAAUAUUCUCUCAGUGUGUACGCCAUCUAUCCUGGACGCAUUGGAGAGUCUGCUACUGUUGCCACAGUAACCACUGCUCUGCCAGCCGUUGCCAACUUCCGUGUGAUUGAAGAAGGACUUUUCUCUUUGCGCCUGGGAUGGACGCCUGCACUUGGAAAAGUGGAUGGAUAUAAAAUUUAUGUUCCAAGAACCGACAGACCCGGACUCAUAUAUGAGCAGAUGUUGUCAGGCGACACUUCCUCUCAUGUGAUCGACACUUUAGAAGAGGAUAAAGAGUACACCGUCAACAUCUACUCCAUCUACCCGGAAGGCCACAGUGAGCCUGUAUCUAUCACUGGGAAAACUUUGAAAUUGGUGCCAGUCGGUGAUUUGCUGGUGCAGAACGCCACUACAGACACAGUUCAGGCCCGCUGGUCAUCUGUCCGAGGCGCUACAGGAUACAGACUCACCUGGUCAUCCUCAGAGGGACACAUAGAAAAUGUGAACCUGGGAGACAACUUUAAUUUCUACAUGGUGCAGGGGCUUCAUGCUGGCACUGAAUACACUAUCACUAUUAACCCUAUAUUCGGGGACAUUGAGGGACCUGUGACCUCUGCCAAAGCCAAGACAUUGGAGAGCAGCGCAGUUCAGACUCUGCGAGCGUCAGCUGUAAGCACCAGCAGCGCUGUCACUUCUUGGAACUCAGUACCCGGAGCCACGGGAUACAGACUGGCCUGGGGCCCGACAGCAGAGUUCACAGGCAGAGAUCGGCCGAGGCAGCUGGCUCUGAAUGGCAGCACUACUGAAUAUAUUCUGAAGAAUCUGGUUCACGACACAGAGUAUGUGCUUUCUCUAUAUGUGCUCUUUGGCUCAGUGGUCGGUCCGGGCAUCACUGCUACAUUCAGGACUUCUCCUCUCGGAUACGUCUCAAAUUUUAAAGUGACUUCAUACACCAGCUCAUCCAUUCACGUGGAAUGGAGUCCUAUUGUAGGAGCCACCGAAUACAAACUCACCUGGAGUUCAGAAUUCAUUCGUCCUCAGAGCCGUUAUCUGGACCGUAGCGUUUUGAAGCACAGCAUCACUGGUCUUCAGCCAAACACACUUUAUUCUGUCAGCAUUCACGCUCUCUACAGCAACACGGAAGGGCCAGAUAUCACCCUCUCACAGCAGACAGCCUCUUUGACCGACUCCGAGCUGAUCGAGACAGUUCGCGAGGUGAAGGUUGUGGACACUGGCGUCAGCUCUUUCAAACUGGCAUGGAAGAAAACACCAGGCGUCACUGGCUACAAAAUCACCUGGAGCCCCUUCCACGGUGGAGAGAAGAAGAGUGAGGCCGUGUCUUCUUCUGCCACUUCCUUCACCAUCACUGAUCUGCCAGCCGGUUCUGCCUACAAGAUCCAGCUUUCUGCAAUGGUCAGAAGCAAAGAGGGAAGUCCAGUAAUGGUGACCGCUCGCACUCUGGAUCUGCCCAAGGUGACUGGAUUCAGUGCUCUGAACACCACAGACAACAGCACUGUAUUAAACUGGACGAGUGUGACUGGAGUCUCGGGAUACCUGCUGUCCUGGAGACACAUAUCUGAGGUGGACGUGUCCACUGAUCUGCUGAGCUCUGGCUUCACCUCGUAUAAGAUCCGAGAUCUCCAGUAUGGCAGAACCUACAUCUUUUCCAUCAGGCCACUUUAUGGGGAAGUGGAGGGUCCGGUCACAACCAUCACCAAAAGAAUCUUGGGAGAGCCUCGUCUUGUUCCUGUCCAGAGCUCCACACCGGCUCCUGUCUCUGCAAACACCAAGAGCAAUGACAUGCAUCUCCAAACCACAACCAGAAACACUCGUACCCCAGUGGUCAAAGCCCCUGUUACAGCCUCUGCCACCGGCCAAACGGCUUCAGCACUGAUUAGAAUGACCACAGUCAAUGACCAAAGCAUCCUGUCUGCUGAAACACCUCCACCUGGACCAGUGUGUGGCAGGGUAAAGGCAGAUAUUGUGUUUCUGGUGGAUGAAUCCUGGAGCAUUGGUACUAAUAAUUUUGGAAAGCUGAAGGAUUUCCUAUUCAGAACGGUCACCUACUUCCCCUCUAUAGGACCUAAGGGAACGCAGAUAGCAGUAGUUCACUACAGUGAUCAACCCAGGAUCGAGUUCAACUUCAACACUCAUAAAGACCGUAACUCCGUCUUAAGAGCUCUCCGAGAAGUCCGCUAUGGAGGAGGAAACACAAAAACAGGUCGUGGGAUCAGUUAUGUCCUCAGGGAGAUGUUUCAGGAGUCUUUGGGAAUGAGACAGGAAGCUCCUCAUGUGUUGGUGCUGUUGACGGAUGGAAGAGCACAGGAUGAUGUGGAGCCGCCAUCCAGGAUAGCGCACGCUUUGGGGGUCAGUGUGUUGGUCAUCGGCAUCGCUCACGCCGACAUGGAGGAGGUGAGGACAAUCGCGUCUCCCACCACAUACAAGAACAUCUUCUACGCCAGUGAUUUUGACGACCUCCCAUCCAUCGAGAGAGAGUUCAUCGGUAGCAUUUGCAGCGAAGCCCUGCAGUCCGAAUUUAAACAACACGACGAGUCUGCUCAACUGGACACACCUACAGAAGACCCAGAAGCUCUUGCUAAACCAGAAGGACCUUGUCCGCUUAACUGCAAGGGUCAGAAAGGAGAAAAGGGCGAUGGGUUUGGUCAUGGAGGCCUGCGGCUCCAGCAAGGCCCAGGGCAUUUUGACUCAUUCUCUCUGAAGGUUAAAGGAGAAAAGGGUGAGCGGGGUCUUCCCGGGACUGAUGGUAUUCCAGGUUUACCAGGACGGCCAGGCAGAACUGGACCACCUGGUUCUCCUGGACAAAGGGGGCCUUCUGGAAUUCCCGGAGACAUGGGGCCUCCUGGUAAUACUGGACCUAAAGGACAGAGAGGAGAGAGAGGUGAGCCAGGCUAUGUGAUGGGAGGUAUGGAGGUUCUUCCAGGCCGUAAAGGAGAACCCGGAUCCUCAGGCCCUUCAGGUGCUCCUGGGGUCCCAGGGGUAUCUGGUCCUCCAGGACUGCCUGGUCUUCCUGGGCCUUCAGGGUCUCCAGGACUCUCUAUUAAGGGGGAGUCUGGAGAACCUGGUCCUAAAGGUCCACGUGGAAAACCAGGUCAAAAAGGAGAGAAAGGAGAGCAGGGGAAUAAUGGUUUGCCAGGUUUACCAGGACCAGUGGGAGUGGAUGGACUUCCAGGACUUGCUGGCCAGAAGGGGGAAAAGGGACAGGACGGUAUUGGAACACAAGGUGCUCAAGGUCCACCUGGACCACCUGGAGAAAAGGGAAACACUGGACUCUCAGGCUCAAAGGGUGAAGUAGGAAUCCAAGGACUCCAAGGGAUCGCAGGCCCUCGGGGGAAAAAGGGUCUUAAAGGAGAUCAAGGAGAGAAGGGUGCACAGGGGGAAAAUGGGCCGAUCGGGUCUCCAGGAAUAGCAGGCUUCCCUGGAGCUGCUGGACGAAAGGGCGAUGAGGGGCAACGUGGCGCUCCCGGCGAGCCAGCUAAAGGGAUACUUGGUCCUCCAGGGAAAAAAGGUGCCAGGGGGGAUAUCGGGCUAGUUGGGCCACCAGGACCGCAAGGAAUCAAAGGAGAUCGAGGUGAUAAAGGUGAAAAGGGCAAUCCGGGAUUUGGAAUCCCUGGUCAGCCUGGUCCCAAAGGAGAAAGUGGAGAAAGAGGCAAUGUUGGACUAUCAGGAAAACCAGGGCCUAAAGGCAAUGAUGGGUCCAAAGGAGACAAAGGAGAGAUCGGUUUACCAGGCACCUCAGGUUCUCCAGGACUAAGAGGUAAAGAUGGUGUGCCAGGCCUAAAAGGGGACACAGGAUCAAGGGGAGAACCUGGUUCUCGAGGAGAGCCUGGAGAUAGGGGUGUUAAGGGACCCCUCGGUCUUCCAGGACGACCUGGUGACCCUGGAGACAAAGGCGAGCCUGGGAAAUUAGGCUUACCAGGUCCGGAGGGACACAAAGGAUUGAAAGGCGAGCCGGGAUUGCCGGGACCACCGGGAGUUACUCAAUUUACCACAUCAGACAACACCGUUCUCACCAGGGCCAUUAAGGGUGAACCUGGUGAAUCUGGGCUCCCUGGACCACCGGGGGAGACAGGACGUCCUGGACCACCUGGUCCUGAAGGUAAACCAGGACCUCCAGGAAAUUCACUGUUUGGAUCAAGUACAGGGAAAGACGGUCUGGAUGGUCUGCCAGGAAUCCCUGGAUCUAAGGGUGAAGCCGGACAGAAAGGUGAACCAGGAUCAAAAGGAGAGAAAGGAGAUCACGGACGUGCUGGGAUUACUGGUAUGCCUGGUUUACCUGGGACACCUGGUAAACCUGGUGUUGAUGGGAAGCGUGGAGUUUCUGGAAAAGAUGGAGAACGAGGACCAAAGGGUGAUGAAGGAGAAAAGGGUGUAAAAGGUGAACCUGGUGCAAAUGGAAAUGAAGGUCAAAAAGGAGAGCAAGGAUCUCCAGGAUUGCCAGGUCCUCCUAUUGUCCUACAGGAGGGCAUGUCGAUUGAGGACAUGAAAAAGGCAUUUCCCUUACCGAUGGGACCUCCUGGCGCGACAGGCCCUCCUGGGAUGAAGGGAGAGAAAGGAGAGAUGGGUUUGAAAGGAGAAAAGGGGGAUGCUGGCGCACCUGGGAGAGCGGUUGAAAUGAAGGACAUUGAAGGCUUGUUCGAUUCGUAUGGCAUUAAACUCUCUCUGCUGAAGGCUUUGAUUGACAGGCUGCUUCAGGAUGGAAUGGAGGAGCUUCUUCACGAGAUCAGCACCAGCAGAAGAGUGAAAGGAGACAGAAGAGAUCCUGACUCCAACAUCAUCACUGAAUACACCAGCUCAGUAAAGUACAGUCACCCGCAAGAGCCAUUACCUGAUACAGACUUGAUUGAAGAAGAGUCUGAUCUUGAAGAAGGACAGAUGCCUGAACCCAGUCCUGAGACUGUGGGUGAACCAGAAGUGCUUCCUACUGUUUGGACUAUCUCUACUGUUCGCAAAAAUGAUGAUCUGAGUAAAACCAAGGACAUGCUGGUAGAUGUAGAAGAAAAGAAACUAGUAGAAACCAACUUCAGUGAUGUUACAUCUUUAAAGUUUCUCCAAAUCAACAGCUCCUCUGAAAGGCUGGGUUCUGGAAAGGUUGAGGUAAGUAUGGAGACAGCUUUCCACAGCCAUGAGGACACAGGGAAGAAAACAUCUGGAGAGAAGAAGAAAGGCAGAGAGAAGGGAAAGGGCAAAGGAAAUAAAGGACGUCAAAAACGGCAAAGGAAACGUUUGGAGGGUCAAGACAACAUGGAAGAGGAGCUUCAGGAAGCAUCAUAUGACGAUGAGGAAUACAGUCUUGAAUAUGAGGACGAGCUGCCCACAAAAGAGCCUUUUCCCUCUCAGGAGGAAGAUGGUGGAGGGGAACAGCUAAAAUACUUAGCAACGACAGCUUUAUAUACAGAAGAAAUUGAGGGUGAGACAGAAACGUAUAAGAUUACACAGUCUCCAGAAGAAGUUACACUGACGGCUCACACAACAACAGAGAGUCCUCGGGUAUUAUCAAGCAUCACAGUGCAGAAGCCACCGGAAACCACGUUAUUAUUGAAGCUAAAUGAAACACAAACUGGAGAGGAGGGGAACUUCUCCCAUAGUAGUGGCCUGGAAGCAGCAAGAUAUAAAGUGAAGAGAAGCGCCCUCUCACCUCAGUACAUGGCCCAUAUGCCUGGGACACCAGGAGGACUAAACCGAUACAGGCAAGGAUAUAAGAGGUCGACCUCAGGUACACAAGGCAAAAAUAAGCUGAAUAAAAAGAAACAAGAAAACAAAGAGUCUGAACUUGUGACGGAGACUCACAUGGGCACAGAGAGAGAGGACGAAGGCUAUCUUGACAACAAGGAGAUGGUGACUGAAGAGGAAAGAGAAACGGAGGCACAGUGGGAUGUGGAGGAAGAGGAUGGUGCAACGGAGAGCAAAGAAUACAGCUCAGGCGAUGGCGAUGAGGAGGAAGAGUUUGAGCUGGAGAGGGAGAGAGAGAGACAGGAGAUGGAGAGAGAACGGAUGGAGCUGGAGACGGAACGAGAGGAAGAACUGAAAAGCGAGAGAGAGCGGGAGAGGGAGGUCGAGAUGGAGCAAGAGGAGAGAGAGAGACAGUUGCAGAGACAGAGACUGGAGUGGGAGAGACAAAGAGAACAGAUGGAGAGGGAGAGGAUGGGAGAGACGAGCAGAGAAGAGGACAUGGGGCCACAUAUUUCCCACUGUGAUUAUCUGAAGGGACCUCCUGGUGAAAAUGGAAAACCGGGCCCUAAGGGGGAGAUUGGAGAAAAAGGCCAAAAGGGAGAGCCUGGAACUGGUCACCGUGGGCCAAUUGGACAAGCUGGUCAAGCAGGACAAAAGGGUGAGCCUGGAGAACCAGGACCAACUGGAGCACAGGGCAUUCAGGGUAUUCGUGGCAACCCUGGCAUCCCUGGAUCAGUGGGUCAAAGAGGUCAGCCAGGUGAUCCCGGAGAGCCAGGCAGACAGGGUGAUAGAGGGAAACGAGGGAAGAACGGCUCAGCUGGUGCUCAAGGUGCAAUUGGUCCUCCUGGACAGCCGGGGCCUCCUGGUCUUGCUGGAGUUAAAGGUGAAAAGGGAGACAGUAUCCCAGGGGAACCAGGAGACAGAGGAAAUUCUGGACUCCCGGGUCGCCGGGGAGCCAAAGGCACUGAUGGCAAUAAAGGACCACCAGGUCACAUGGGUCCCAAAGGCCUGACUGGUGCGAAAGGAGAAAAGGGUGACAAAGGUAUGUCCGGUCACCGAGGAGAGAAAGGCAGCCCUCUCUCCAUGCCAGGUCCCAGAGGAUAUAAGGGUCUAAAAGGAGAUACAGGUGAACGCGGACUUCCUGGAUUUGAUGGAGAUAAAGGAGAGAAGGGUGAAGAUGGUCCACCUGGUGCAAAAGUAUUUUACACAUCAUUCUAAGGGCUCAAGGGUGAAGCUGGUACCAAAGGAGGCAUGGGACCUUUUGGUGCACGUGGUCCAGUAGGACAAAAGGGAGAUCCAGGGGAACCAGGUGCCAAUGGGGAAAAG